rnacentral:lncRNA from 1 species
AUGAAAUUGUUUUGGAAGGGAUGAGGAGAGCAGGAAGUUCCUGAGUCUAAAGGAGUGGAAGAGUGUGACCAGAGUGCUGGUAUGAGAUGGCAAGAGAGCUCAACGCUGAAAGAGAAUUAGAGGACACAGCAAGGUAGAAAACACGUUAGCCCGGUUGCUGUUGCUACUGAAUACGAGUGGUUAUGCCCAUAAUAAAACAUCAUUCUAGGUGGUAUCUGAGUCCAGCACUGAGGGAACAAACUGCCCAUUUAUGCCACGUGAAAGGCACUGUGGAAGAAGAAGGACCCAGGAAGAGAAGAGUGCAAAGAAAACUUCAUCUGAAAUAAGCAAGCUGCAUGGCAUCGGC